UACGAAGGGGGCUAGCGUUGCUCGGAAUUACUGGGCGUAAAGGGAGCGUAGGCGGACAUUUAAGUCAAGGGUGAAAUCCCAGAGCUCAACUCUGGAACUGCCUUUGAUACUGGAUGUCUUGAGUGUGAGAGAGGUAUGUGGAACUCCGAGUGUAGAGGUGAAAUUCGUAGAUAUUCGGAAGAACACCAGUGGCGAAGGCGACAUACUGGCUCAUUACUGACGCUGAGACUCGAAAGCGUGGGGAGCAAACAGG
rnacentral:rRNA from 1 species